AUUAAGCAUAGAGGCUUGCACUGAAUUUUUUUCAGAUUUUUCCUUGCUCUAGAAAAUGUGCAAUUUGAGUGUAGAAAGUUGCGCAGGGGGAACUGAGCAGUCUUUUUUUUCACCCUUUACAAUUGCUCAGAGGUUGAGCUAAGGAUUUUAGGUAGGAAGGUUUCUGGGGGGCGAAUCAGGAACAAAAAAAGGUUCGAAUUUGCCAGGUAGACUUUUCCGAGGUGGGGAAAAUGCUUUUCAAUGAUUUUUGGCUUUGAAAUGUUGGAGCUCGACGAGGUUACAGGCAGAUAUUCUUCCUCAUACUUCAGUGUAUUUGAAAAUGCAGGUUGGUGGUGUCGGUGCAGGGACUGAGCUAACCUCUUCUAAUGAAGGGUUUGAAGCUGCUGUCCAGAUUAGUGGGGACAUUCUGCUCAACUCCAGUAAGUAAAAUAUAAAUGACUUUCAUAUCCAGGUGGUCAAAAUUUGUAGGCAGUAGUCAGCAAAUCACAGGCACACUGUUUUCAUUUUGAGAUUGGGUAGACAGAGUUGUUCCUUUCCCAAUUCUGGUCAAAUUAUAUCAUAACUUUUCUUCCUGUUUUCUGAGAAUGUCUGCAUUUCUCACUAUUGAGAGAUAGAGAAAGGAACAGAAACACCUGAGGUAAAGAAAAAGGCAUGUCGUGCAACAGUUUGUUCUUGUACCAUUUGCUUCCUGGUUCACAAUUUCUAGACUCUGAUACCACCUUGAGAUCCUUUGCAGUGUCCUUAUUGCUGACUUGAGAACAGACCAGAAAAUUAAUUUGUAAGCACAAAGAAUGGAAUAUUUGAAGGUGGGUUGGUUAAGCAAACAAAUUGGCUAAGAAGCUAUAUAAAUUGCUGAGCUGCACUGUUCCCUCAUUACAGUUACUCCAGAUUGGGUGUGGGUCGGUCAGACAGGGUCCUAGCAUUUCCUUGUUUCAGAUUCCCUCAUUUCUCAUGGGAAUUUAACAGAGUUCCUCUCCAUUUCAGGUAAUGAAUUUUGUAGAAUACAGACUGUAUUGUAACCCAUUUCAAAAUAAAAUUACUAAUGUAGACUGAUGCCUCUGCCAUAAUUUGUGAAAUAGGAUUAUAAAAUAAAAUGAUAAGAGAAAUUAGCUUUAUAAGAUUAGCUUUAUGUGUCAUAUACAUUGAAACAUCUUGUUUGUGUUAAUGACCAACAUGGUGUGAGGAUGUGCUGGGGUGCCACGCUUCUGGCACCAACAUAGCAUGCCCAUAACUUACUAACCCUAACUAACCUGCCUUUGUAAUGUGGGAGGAAACCAGAGCACAGAGAGGAAACCCACAUGUUCACAGGGAGAAUGUGUAAACUUCUUACAGACAGCAGCAGGAUUUGAACCCCAAUUGAUUUUAUGAUGGGGCAGUAAAGUGUUACACUAAUGGAUAUGCAAGUGCUUUCCUUAAAUCAUCUACUCAAAUUGUUUCCUGCAAUUCCUGCUCCGGGUAUUGAAAGUAAUGUUCAUUUGUGCCUGGGAUUGACAAAUACACUGCUGAUUUAAAUUAUUAAACUUACGUUUAAAGUUGAGGGAAGGGGUUAUAUUUUUUAAUUGGGCCUGCUAAUUUGCUAUAAAGAAGUUAGGCAGCACAAAUAACAGCACUCUUGACUUGUAAUAGACAUCUCCCAGCUGCAUAGAGGUUAAUGAGAAAUAAUUAUCACUCAAGUGAACUGUUACUAAAUGUUAUUUUCCUUCUUAAUUUCAGAGUGAUCCGCUUGUAAAGCGAAUUUCUGGAUUCUCAGUCUCUGCAUAUCCUUCAUCCUAAAGUACCUGCAUUCAUCACAGCAGCACAUCAUGGUUUGCAUGCUUGUACUAAAUAUCCAAACCAUUGUGUGCUGUUAUGGGGAGUGCAGGAAAAUCUGUUGAAGAGUGGGGCUAAAAGGCAGUUUUGGGGGUUUGUACAGACUGGCAAUGUUUUCCAUCUUACAAAUGUCUCUUCCUAAUUUUCUUACUACCUAGUUUUAAAAAAAAGACUUCCUAGUUAUAAACGUUAUGAAUUACGCUGCUCAGGAAUCUACGUCACAUUGAAUUUUCUCUCACGUUUAGACUUACUUUCUCCCUCAUUCCACAUUUCCCUCUUAAUUUUUAACCUUUUAGUAUCAUCACCAGGUCUGAAAUUUAUUUGCUGCUUCUUACACUUACUUCGUUCUCCUUUACACUCGUAUACUAAAAAUAACAUUAAAUCUUGAAUCUAAAUUAAAUAAUGUUGAAUCUUGGCACCUUUUAAUUAUUGUUAAAUUCUUCUUGUAUUCACAGUAAAAAUCUGUACAAACAUUUAUUCUUUAACUCAUUCUUUAUUAGCAUUUCAUCUCCACUGACGUUAUGUUUUCAGAACCCAUAAAUAACAUUAAACAUAAUCUUUGUGUCUUCUAUCUGUGCUAGAUUUAAAAAUAAUUGGAUCUCUAAUUUAGUCAGAGUAAUUUCUAAUCAAUCUUGAUUCUCAUUGCAAUCUUUGAUAAUUUGGCAAGCUCCAUAUUCUAGUUUCUAUGCCUCUGUUGUACUAUUCCAGUAAAAUUUCUCUGGGAGUGCAAUAAUGAAAGGCCAUUAUAAUUGUAAUCCACAUAGGGAAUGAAACACUGGAAUUCACGAGGCAUAAUUUUACCUUUGAAUCUGACCGUGCCUGUAUUGAUGCUGUCUCUGGUAACACAAGAGAGCAGCUGUUUCUUGUAGUAGAAGAGUUUGUUCAUCCUCAACCCUGCCCUCAAUCCCUCUCCUGCUGGUCCUGUGUUACUGAGUGUGUUCAGUGCACUCAUGGUGUGCCAUUUGCAUUUAGUCAAUAAAUUAUUCUCUAAUCUCACCUUUAAUUUUGAGAUGAAUAGAAUGUAAUUUGCUUGUGUCAUUCUGUCAGAAAAUGAUUUUCAAUAUAUGUGUCAUAAAAUUUGCAAAAAGGCGGAGAAUACCCAACUGCAUGUAUGCGUUUUCUGCUCCUUAACCCUUUGGCCAUUUUCUGUGAUGUGCUCAACAACUGGAGUCAGAAGUUUGAAACAACGAUCUGUGAGCUCCUAGUCAAAGCCUUAGGAGAAGGGUUAAGAAUAAAGGACUAUUUGUUGAAAAUGAAAGGGGAAGGAUGGUUUCACUUGACAAAUCAAGUGCUUGCAGUAUAAAUUUGUUCCACGACUGUUUUGAAGUUACUGGCUAGAAAUAGCUUCAGUGCCCAUGUGAAAAAUUUACAUGAUUCUGUGAGUAGGACUACAGUACACUGGACAGUUAUAUCACUGUCUAUUAUUUGCUUCUCCUCCCAUUCCAUCUGAGUCUUUGUAUGAAAAUGAUGUACAAGAGAAUAAAACUGGCAAGUACUUUCACCCAUCAUACUUUCGACGAAGUCAUGGUGUGCAGAAGUGUGAAAAAAACCAGAGAUAUUAGAAAGGGGCACCCAGAGUUAGAAGGUGCACGUCAUGCAUGAGAUCCGUCUGCCCACAGAAAGUAACCACUGUCUUCUACCACAUUCUGCCUAACAGUUGGUCAACCAUAGAUUUUGUAAACUGCCUGUGGAAGGAUAAUUCUCUUUGAAAGUUUUGCCCUGCCCUUAGAGGUAGUGCUGCUGGGUGUGGAGUUGUAGUGCACUUAAUAUGGUUGGUGUGUAUCAUCUGCAGUGCUAUAUAUAAAUACACACCUUCCAUCGUCUAUGCAGCAUGUGCUGCUCUCAUUUUAAUUUCACUCUGAAGAGCUUCCAGAUCUGCACAAUGUUAUAAACACAAGCUAAUGCCAAGAUGGAGACACACAGCUACAGGAUACAAUAUGUAAGUACAUUUUUAGGUUUAUGUAGUGCCCACUGACUUGUGAGACUUUCAUAAGAGAUGUCUUAAGUUUGCAACUUGGCUCUCAUAUGAGUGAUGUGUGGUUUUUGCUAUACUGCAAUUAGCUUAAAACUUUGACCAGGUAUCUGAUCUGCAGUCGGAAACAACAAAUUACUUAACAGUUUCAAACAUCACUAGAGUGGCUGUGCAGUCAACAAUGCAGGAGGUGAGAGAAGGCUUUAUCACUAAGUUGGAUCUCAAGGUGAUUGGCAAUUAAAAGAGAAUACAACUUUCCUGGUUUACUUUAUCAGAAAAUUGUGAUGCAAAGUAUUCCAAUAUUUUAGCACAAUUGCCAUUUGCAAAGAGAUAAUUUUCAGUCUUGAAUUAAUCAUUUUGCUCCUUCUUCACUAGUCAAAACCCAUCAAAUACAAGUGUGUGUGUGUGUCUGUCUAUAUUAACACAAGGUAGACUGGAACUUGUGGUUCAAGUGAGAUCUUUAAUUUUAUGCACACAUGGACAUGCACGUGUACACACACACACACCCCAACCCCCACCUCCAUCCCACACUUCAUAAAUGAACUGCUCACAUCCAGACUGCAGUUUUAGUUCGCAUCUGAUUUCUAAUUGUUUGGAAAGUUAAGGAGAAAUCCAAUGUGAUAUAUUUUAGACUAAGUAAGCUGUGUGCUCGUAAAUUUUAAUGACUUACUGAUUGGUUACAUUCAGAGUAACGAAUCCAGUGCAAUUCCCUGUUUUUUUUAAUGUGGUGAACAUUUUAAUGUGUGUGUAUAAUACACUUGAACAAAUGAUUUUAAAGUUUCAAGCUUAUGCAGUUGACCUCUGUGGUCAGAUCUUUGGGUGUGGGAUUCCGAGGUGCUAGAUGAAGGAAUGUACUGUCGACUCUGCUUUAGCAGCACAUAAAUAUUGGUAGGUUCCAACCAUUUUGCCAAUAUUGUGUGUGCUGCUCCAAUAUGGUCUGACGCAAGCAGCAGAUCGCCUGGUGAAUGUGACAACACUACUUGCCUCCUCAGUGUUGCUGUAAGAUUCUUUUCAUGUGAAAAAUAUAAACUGUAAUGAACUUGAUAUGAAAAAUAAAAGCCUUUAAUAAGAAUGAUGAUCCUGGUUUUCAUUUGGGUUGAUUUACAGUUCUUCAAAUUCUUUGUGCUUGCUUUGAGACCUGUCAGAGCAGUGCACUGGUUAUUUCAGGGACUUUGGCAUCGAUGCAGAUGAGAUUUUAAAAAAGUACUAUUAGCAUUUAUCAUUUCUGAGUGUCUCACAUUAUUGCCUUUCAAUACACACUCACCUAGACACAUCUAUUUCCUGCCAGCUUCUGCCAUCUUCCUUUCCAAUCCUGAUCAACAAUCUUGACCUGAAAUGUUAACUUCAUCCCCCUCCACAGAUGCUGCCUAACCUGCUGAGUUCCUCCGGCAUUUUGUGUGUGUUGCUCAAAUUUCUAGCAUCUGCAGAAUCACCACUAUUAAUUUAGAGGUUAAGAGUUAAGGUUAAGACCUUAGGAAAAUGUAACCUAGAAAUCUUGAUUAAGUUGAAUGACUGAAACCUGCCAUCCAGUUUGUUACACAACCACUGAGAGACACAUGCAAAUUACCUUCCCCAUCCUGACCGCUCACUCCUUCAUGUCAUUUCAGAAAAUCCAAAGGAAAUGAUGCCUCUUGCAUAGCUUUAAGACAGAUACUCACUACUGCCAUUGGGAAAUAACUGUGAUGCUGGGAUCCAUUGAUCCUGCAACUUCCUGCAGUGUCUGUCCACUGAGUCUGCGUCAGCUUCAGUGGACAGCAAUGGUUCUAAUGAAUUUCAGCUUUUUAAAAAAUUGAGUUAUUUUUAAUAUAUUGAUCUGCACUGUUUUAAAUGUUAUAGUGUUAAGAAUGGUUAUUUUUAAUAGCUCUUUUAUUUUUUUUUAAACAAUUCUGUAUGUCAUUCAAAUCUCUCCAGCAGCAUAUCUGGGUUGUGUCUAACUGGCAGUCAAAGUAUUCUGAUGGUGGAGAUUUUCAGCAGGAAAGCCCUUUACAGAACAGGGCCUCACAAUCAUGUCAGUGUUGCAGGUAAGUGUGGGCAAAAGAGGGAAUGAACUGAGCUCCCCCUUAAGACAAAAUGUACUGACUAAUCCCACUAAAAAGUAUUAGCCAUGUGUUGUACUUUGUCAUAAUUUUCCUUCAAGCUUUUAUGGCACUGAACUGUAUCUCCUUAUUUACGUUCAAAGCCCUUGAUGAUGUUGAGUUCAUCAUAUUGCUUCAGCUUCUCUAUUUUGAUGGAAGUUUUCCUAUAAUACUAAUACAUAUUCUGAUAAGCAACAUACACAAAAUGCUGGUGGAACACAGCAGGUCAGGCAGCAUCCAUAGGGAGAAGCACUGUCAAUGUUUCGGGCCGAAACCCUUCGUCAGGACUAACGGAAAGGAAAGAUAGUAAGAGAUUUGAAAGUAGGAGGGGGAGUGGAAAAUGAAAUGAUAGAAGACCGGAAGGAGUGUGGGAGGAAAUGAGUACACCCAGUGAAAGUCGUGGAGAGAAUGUGCAAAUUCUACACGGGCAGCACCUGAUAUAUGGAUUGAACAAACCUGCGUUUCUGAGACAUUAAUGCCUGCUGUAAAACUACUGCUCCAUAGGAGAAUUUCCACUGGAUUUUGGUGAAGGAGCAUCUAAUUUAUAUAUUCCGGCCUCAUCCCUGUCUUUCUCUCCUCACCUGUAAGAUGUCCGCAUCUUCCCAUGUUCCAGCACAGUGUCCAAUUUCAAAAAUCCCUCUCUGCACCUCUUAUUUCCUACCCCACCUUAAACCUCAGGUUUACCACUAUAGUUUGUCGGCUGCUGGGAAAUAGCUUGGGAGGCAUUGCUUGUUAAGUAGGCAGUGUAAAUAAAAUAUUAGCCUCUGACUGUACAUGUAUACAGCCAAACAGAAAUAUAUUCCUCCAAAUUACAAAACAUAUCAUGCAUGGCACAUAAAUCAAAAUAUUACCACAAAUGAGUUAAUAAAACACAACUCAAAAUGCAUGUAGUGCAUUGCACAGGCAAACAGCUUGCUGCCCUAGUGACGAGCCCUCAGUGGUGGCUGGAUAUUUGUUAGCUUUGUCCCUCAGCCUGUAAGACUGUUAACCAGUUUGGCAGCUCUAGUCCUGAUGCUUUUAUACCUCCUUCCUGAGGUAAUGGGUCAAAGAAAUUAUGAAAUAGGUGGUAGGGAUCCUCAAAGAUGUUUCAGGCUCUUUGCAACACUCAUGGUAAACAUAAUAAAUAAGCAUAGAGGAGAGAGAACCCAAUGAUCCUCUCAGCUGACUUUACUAUCCUCUAAGGUGUUUUGCAUCCUCUGUACCACACAAUGCUGGAGCCAUAUAGGACACUUGCUGCGAUGGAGCUCCUGAAUUGAUAAGAGUGGGAGCAAUGAGACUUACAAGCCUCAAUCUUCUCAAAGUGUAGAUGUUGCAGUGCCUUCUUGACUAGUGAGGAGCUGUGGGUCCAGGUCCACACCAAGGUAACUUGCUCUUCAUGGCAGAGCCAUUGAUGAGAAGUGGAGAGUGGUCAAUCUGAGCCUUUCUGAAAUUCACAAUGAGUUAGAUUGAUCCUGGAGUAGGUUAAGUGGUCAGCACAACAUUGUGGGCCGAAGGGCCUGUACUGAGCUGCAAUGUUCUAUGUAAGCUCUAUCUCUUUUGGAUUGUUUUUCUCACACCAUUUGGCAAGCUGCUCUACCUCCUCUUUGUAUACUGACUCAUUGUUGCAAUAAGGCUGUUGUAUCAUUAAAGAACCUGAUGGUGGCUUUAACUGAAUCUGGCAUGCAGGUCUGAGUUGGCAGCAGGCUGAGCACUCAGCCCUGGGGGCUACCAGGCACUCAGUGUGAUGGAGCUUGAAAUGUUGCUGUCAGCUUAGACUAAAUGGGGUCUUAACCAUCAAGAAGUCCAAGAUCCAGUUACAGAGAAGGUUGUUGAGUCCCAAUGGGGACAGUUUACCCACUGGCCCCUGAGGGAUGAUUGUAUUAAAUGUCCAACUGAAGUCGAUGAACAAUGCCAGGAAUAUAAGGCAUUGAUUUCGAUGUGGGGCAGGAUGGAAUGGAAGGUUGAGGCUAUGGCAUCAGUGGACCAGUUUGAGAGAAAGGUGAACAGUAAAGAGUAGUGUAGCUGAAAGGUGGGAUUUUAUAAAAUCCAUUACUGUACUAGCCACUCAAAGCUCUUUAUGGUUGUUGUACUCAAUGCUGCUGGGCAGUAAUAGUUUAGACCGUUACCAUAGCUCUCUUGGGCACUAGAAUGAUGGAGGCUGUCCUGAACCUUGCAACGUCAGUGGAUUGUUUCAUGUUAAAGAUGUCCAUUAAGACCUCUUUUGACUGGGCUGUACGAUCCCUCAGCACCUGAUCAGGUAUGUUGUGUGGCUCUGCAGCUUUGUGUGGAUUUACCCUAGCUAAGGUCCUCCACCUUGGCUUCAGCCAGACAGAGUGCCUGUUCCUCAGGGGGUGAAGGGGCUUUCCUCAACAUCACAUCAUUCAAUGUGUCAAAUCAUGCAAAGAAGGCAUUCAGCCUAUCUGGAAGACUGCUCUGCUUUGCUCUGGUAUAUUCAGACCUGUCAUGUAGACCAGGGGUUCCCAAUCUGGGUCCACAGACCCUUUGGUUAAUACUAAGGCUCCAUGAAAUAAACAAAAGUUGGGAACCCCUGGCCCACAUACUUUCCUGCAACACUUUGAAAACUACAUUUAGUUCACAUUUCUUCAUUAUUAUCUAAUCACUUUGCCUGUAUUUCAGUAUCACCUCAAAAAUUUGAAAACCUGAAUAUGAAAAUGACUUCUGAGGUACCAGCGUCCUGCUCUAAAGAAGCAACCAUUAUCACUUUCUGCCUUGUAGACAACUCCUUUGGUGUUGGUAAGCAGGCAAGAGAAUGACAUGAUCAUGGUUAUUUCCAUUCUCGCAGUUCCUGUCAAAACUUGUGCUUAUUUUUAGCUCUUUGAUGUACUGCAGAGAAAGUUAUUGAUCAGGCAACACUGGUGCUAUGGAAAAUCACAACAUUGAAUCCAUAGCACAGACCUAUUGUACACUGAGAUUGUAAACUGAUCUACUCUUGGCAUUUUCCCUAAAUUGCAGUCCUGAGAGAGGUUGCUGAAGAGGUAACAGAUGCAUUGAUCAUGAUCUUUGAAGAAUCACUUGAUUCUGGCAUGGUCCCAGAAGACUGGAAGAUUGCUAAUGGCAUUCCACUCUUUAAGAAGGGAGGAAGGCAAAAGAAAGGAAAUUAUAGGCCAGUUAGCCUAACCUCAGAGGUUGGGAAAGUGUUGGAGUCUAUUAUCAAGGAUGAGGUUUCAGGGAGACUAAUGAUAAAACAAGUCAAAGUCAGCAUUGUUUUUGUAAAGGGUAAUCUUGCCUGACAAAUCUAUUGGAGUUCUUUGAGGAAGCAACAAGCAGGGUGGAGAAAGCAAAGGCAGUAGAUCUCAUUUACUUGGGAUGUUCAGAAGGCUUUUGAUAAGGUGCCACACAGGGCUGCUUUACAAAAUAAAAUCCUAUGAAGUUACAGGAUACUGGCAUGGAUAGGGGAAUGGCUGACAGGAGGCAGCAAGUGGGAGUAAAAGGGGUCUUUUCUGGUUGACUGUUGGUGGCUAGUGGUGUUCCUCAGGGGUCAGUAAUGCUGAGGAAGCAAUGUAAUUGCAGCAGGACUAAGGCAAAUUGGAAGAAUGGGCAAAAAAGUGGCAGGUAGAAUACGGUGUUGGAAAAUGUAUAAGGAACAAUAGUGUGCACUAUUACCUAAAUGGGGAGAAGGUUCAAACAUCAGAGAUGCAGAGAGACUUGGGAGUCAUCGUGCAAGACUCUUGGAAGGUUAAUUUAUAGGUUGUGUCUGUGGUAAAGAAGGCAAAUGCAAUGUUGGCAUUUAUUUCAAGAGGACUUAUAUAUAAAAGCAAGGAGAUAAUGCUGAGCCUUUAUAAGACACUAAUCAGGCCACAAUUAUUGUCACAUUUUGGAUGUGUUGUCAUUGGAGUCAGUCCAGAUGAGGUUCACGAGGAUGAUUCUGGGAAUGAACAGAUUAACAUCUGAGGAGUGUACUCGCUGGAAUUUAGAAAAAUAUGCGGGGAUCUCAUUGAAACCUAUUGAAUUUGAAAGAACUAGAUAAGGUGGAUGUAGAGAGGAUAUUUCCUAUGGUGAGGGUAUCCAGAACUAGAGGGCACAGCCUCAAAAUUGAGGGAUGACCCUUCAGAACUUUUUUUUAGCCAGAGCAUAGUAAAUUUGUGGAAUGCUCUGCCACAGUCUGUGCUGGAGGCCAAGUCUGUGGGUAUGCUUGUGGAUGUUGAUAAUUCAAUGAUUGGUCAAGGCAUUAAAGGAUAUGGUGAAGAAGGCAGUAUGGGGAUGAGUGGGAUCUGGGAUCAGCCAUAAUAGAAUGGGGGAAGCACAUUUGUUUUAUGGUUGUGCCAGGGUUAGGAACACUGGAGUAACAAACAUUUACCUGUUGUUGUAGGCUCAAUAUUCAUGUGGGCGUUCCUGUUGAGCUCCCCCCCAAAAAAAACAAAUACAGAGCAAACAAACUGAACAAGGUGCUUAAGCUAGAAGUGGGCAAUACACACAAAAUAUUGGAGGGACUCAAGUGUCUUGAGUGUGUGUGAGAGUUGUAUACUGGGAGGUACAUUGUGUUUGUAAUGGCUUCUGUACAACCGAGUUGGCGAGAUCCAGGACAGCAAAAUAUUGUACAUGGGCUUCCAGAUAAUGUAGUCACUGUUAAUUGCCCCUAGUUUUGAGGUACAUGAUAGUUGAUGGGAAUAUGGUACGAGUAAAAUGAUAUUUGUGUAAAUGGGUUGUUGAUGUGGCCUCUGCUUCCAUGCUGUAAAUCUGGCACUAAUCAGUAAAAUUACCUGGGUGACAUCUCCCCAAUAGGCACAUCCACAAUACAGUUGCUGCCGGCCUGAACUCUCCAAAAAUGAUUUUAACAUUCAAUUGGAGACAAUAAAACCAGCAAAAAAAGGAUGUCUGACAGCAGUUCCUGCACAAUGGGAAUUGCAAUAUGUAAUGUCAACAGAAAGGGGAGUAUUGGUAAGAGAUAUUACAGAUGGAGAAUUCCAAUUGAGGAAAGACUUAAGUUUAAUUGUUUCUGAAACUUUGGAGACAAAAGAGAGGUUUAAUCUUGAUGCCUAACUCAUGAAAUUGAGGAAAGAUGAAAAGGGAGGCCAGUAACUUUGAGGAAGUAACUUAGGGAAUGAUUAAAGAGAAAUUAACAUUUUUUUUCCACCCAUUGAGUAGCAGGGUCUGACAGAUAGCCUAACACUUUAAAACAAAUCCCCCUAUAUACAGUGCCUAUAAAAGGUAUCCACUCCCUUUGCAAGUUUUAAUGUUUUACAACAUUGAAUCACAGUGGAUCUAAUUUGGCUUUUUUUGAUACUGAUCAACAGAAAAAGACUCUUUCAUGUCAAAGUAAAAUCUCUAAAGUAAUCUAAAUUAAUUAAACAAAAUUAAUAUAUUAAUAUUAUUUUAUAAAUUAUUAUUAUACAAAAUAAUUGAUUGCAUAAGUAUUCACCCCCUCUCAUAUAACACCUCAAACCAUCGCUUGUGCAGGUAAUUGGUUUUAAUUAGUUAAAUAGGGAUCUGGGAGACCUGUGUUCUGUCAAGGUGCUUCAAGUUAUUGCAUUCAAGAUACAACUGUAUCUGGAAAGUCCAACUGCUGGUGAGUCAGUAUCCUGGCAAAAACUACAUCACGAAGACAAAAGAACACUCCAAGCAACUCUGCGAAAAGAUUAUUGAAAAGCACAAGUCGGAGAUGGUACAAGAAAAUUUCCAGGUCACUGAAUAUCCCUUAUUCCUUGUUAAAUCAAUCAUCAAGAAAUGGGAAAAAAUGGUAUAGCUGUAAAUCUGCCUAGAGCAGGCUGUCCUCAAAAACUGAGUGGCCAUGCAAGAUGGUGACUAGUGAGGGAGGUCACCAAGAGACCUAUGACAACUGUGGAAGAGUUACAAGCUUCAGUGGCUGAGAUGGGAGAGACUGUGCAUACAACUAUUACCCGGGUGUUUCAUCAGUGGCAGCUUUAUAGAAGAGUGGCUAAGAGAAAGCCACUGUUGGAAAAAAAAUGCACAUGAAAUCUCGGCUAGAGUUUGCCAGAAGGUAUGUGGGAGACUCUGAAGUCAGCUGGAACAAGAUUCUAUGGUCUAAUGAAACCAAAAUUGAGCCUUUUAGCCUUCAGACUAAACACUAUGUUUGGAAUAUGCCAAGCUCUACACAUCAUCAAAAACACCCCAUCCUUGCCAUGAAGCAUGGUGGCAGCUGAAUUGUGCUGUGGGGAUGCAGCAGGUCCUGGAAGACUUGUGAAGGUAGAGGGUAAAAUGAAUGCAGCAAAAUACAGGGAAAUAAUGGAGGAAAACUUGAUGCAGUCUGCAAGAGAACUGCACCUUGGGAGAAGAUUUGUUUUCCAGCAAGGUAACAACCCCAAGCAUAAAUCCAAAGCUACAUAGGAAUAAAAACAACAAAGUUAAUGUACUGGAAUGGCCAAGUCAGAGUUCAGACCUCAAUCCAAUUGAGAAUUUGUGGCUCACUCAUGAUCCCCAUGCAAUCUGACAGAGCUUGAACAGUUUUGUAAAGAACAGGGAAUAAUUGCAGUGUCCAAAUGAGCAAAGCUGAUAGAGACCGAUCCACACAGACUCAAGGCUGUAAUUGCCACGAAAAGUGCAUCUACUAAAUACUGCCUUGAAGGGGUAAGUAAUUACACAGACAUUUUGUGUUUAAUAAUAGUAAUAAAUUUAGACCAAUUUGUAGAAAUUUUUCACUUUGACUGUUAAUCAGUGUAAAAAAAAGCCAUAUUAAUUCCACUGUGAUUCAAUGUUGUAAAACAUGAAAACUUACAAUGUGAGGAGUGAAUACUUUUUAUAGGCACUGUAAGUAUUUGAGUUGUGAUCUACAGCUGUUGAGAAGUGGGCCCUUACUCAAUGGGAGAUUGUUUGUCCAAAUUUACUAAAUUUGAGCUAAACAUGUUUUAAUGUACAGCUGUUCUGUUCUAUUCUUGCUCCCUGCCAAACUUCAGAGAGAUUAAACUUUCUUUUCAUAUAAUUUUCCUUUCUAAAAUUGCUUCUAGAAUACAAAGAAUAAAUAGAUAAAAAUCAAACUCAAAACUUUUCCAUGAAGGCAAAUUCAAAUAUAUACAGUGUC